AGCGAACGCUGGCGGCAGGCCUAACACAUGCAAGUCGAACGAACCUUUCGGGGUUAGUGGCGGACGGGUGAGUAACACGUGGGAACGUGCCUUUAGGUUCGGAAUAACUCAGGGAAACUUGUGCUAAUACCGAAUGUGCCCUUCGGGGGAAAGAUUUAUCGCCUUUAGAGCGGCCCGCGUCUGAUUAGCUAGUUGGUUGAGGUAAUGGCUCACCAAGGCGACGAUCAGUAGCUGGUCUGAGAGGAUGAUCAGCCACAUUGGGACUGAGACACGGCCCAAACCCCCACGGGGGGCAGCAGGGGGGAAUCUUGCGAAAUGGGCGAAAGCCUGACGCAGCCAUGCCGGGGGAAUGAUGAAGGUUUUAGGAUUGUAAAAUUCUUUCACCGGGGACGAUAAUGACGGUACCCGGAGAAGAAGCCCCGGCUAACUUCGU
rnacentral:rRNA from 1 species